AACCCAUAACCAUUUGUUCAAAACACAUCUGUGUUGUUUUCUAUUUUCAGUUUGUCUUUCUCCUUACAAAAUCUCUUGUGAAUCAUUAAAGAAAAGUUGUUAAAGAUUAAAUGAUUCGUUAAAGGUCAAAGAUUAAAAGAUUUCUUGCGUGUGUGUUUCUUGCAAUAAUCUGAAGCAAUAAAGAAAAGCUAUUAAAGAUUAAAGAUUUGUUUUCUAUUUUUGAAACAUUAAUCAAGUCUGCUAAUUUGAGCAAAGUCCAAAAUCUGGAAAUGGAAGAUGAAUACACUGUGAUGGUGAGUUGCUGGUUGUGGUUGGAGGAGAGAGAAUUGUUGGGGAAGAUAAUGUGAAAAAAAUUCAAUGUAGGGAGAACAUGAUAAGAGUGUGCUCUUUAUUUAAUCAAAUGGCUAAGAUCAACUUUCCCAUCAUGGGGAACUACUUCCCUUUCCCAUACUAAACCUCACCAGGAGUUGGAGAGUCUAACCUUCUAACUGCCGAGUUCAAAUUCACUCGAUGAUAAUUGUAAAACCAUCAUUGAAGUCAUUUGAACCGAAUGCUAUUAUUUUUUCUACU
rnacentral:lncRNA from 1 species